rnacentral:rRNA from 1 species
UACGUAGGUGGCAAGCGUUGUCCGGACUUAUUGGGUUUAAAGGGUGCGUAGGCGGUCUUAUAAGUCAGUGCUGAAAUAUCCCGGCUUAACCGGGAGGGUGGCAUUGAUACUGUAGGACUUGAGUAAAGUUGAGGUUGGCGGAAUUGACGGUGUAGCGGUGAAAUGCUUAGAUAUCGUCAAGAACACCGAUAGUGUAGACAGCUAACUAAGCUUUAACUGACGCUGAGGCACGAAAGUGUGGGGAUCAAACAGG